rnacentral:rRNA from 1 species
GAUGAACGCUAGCGGCAGGCUUAACACAUGCAAGUCGAGGGGUAUAGUUCUUCGGAAUUAGAGACCGGCGCACGGGUGCGUAACGCGUAUGCAACCUACCUUUCACAGAGGGAUAGCCCCAGAGAAAUUUGGAUUAAUACCUCAUAGUAUAGCAGUUUCGCAUGAAACCACUAUUAAAGUCACAACGGUGAAAGAUGAGCAUGCGUCCCAUUAGCUAGUUGGUAAGGUAACGGCUUACCAAGGCAACGAUGGGUAGGGGUCCUGAGAGGGAGAUCCCCCACACUGGUACUGAGACACGGACCAGACUCCUACGGGAGGCAGCAGUGAGGAAUAUUGGACAAUGGGCGCAAGCCUGAUCCAGCCAUGCCGCGUGCAGGAUGACGGUCCUAUGGAUUGUAAACUGCUUUAUUACAGGAAGAAACACUACUUCGUGAAGUAGCUUGACGGUACU